rnacentral:rRNA from 1 species
AAUCAACGCUGGCGGCGUGCCUAACACAUGCAAGUCGAACGCGAAAGCCCCGCAAGGGGCAAGUAGAGUGGCAAACGGGUGAGUAACACGUGGGUGACCUGCCUUCGAGCGGGGGAUAACGUCCCGAAAGGGACGCUAAUACCGCAUAACAUCCUGCCUUUGAAGAGGUGGAGAUCAAAGCUGGGGAUCGCAAGACCCGGCACUUGAAGAGGGGCCCGCGCCUGAUUAGCUAGUUGGGGGGUAAUGGCCUACCAAGGCAACGAUCAGUAUCCGGCCUGAGAGGGCGGACGGACACACUGGGACUGAGACACGGGCCCAGACUCCUACGGGAGGCAGCAGUGGGGAAUUGUUCGCAAUGGGCGCAAGCCUGACGACGCAACGCCGCGUGGAGGAUGAAGAUUUUCGGAUCGUAAACUCCUGUCGAAUGGGACGAAAGAUAACGGUUAACAGCCCGUAAUCCUGACGGUACCGUUAAAGGAAACCCGGCUAACUCCGUGCCAGCCGCCGCGGUAAC